rnacentral:misc_RNA from 1 species
GAUGAAGAACGUAGCGAAAUGCGAUACGUAGUGUGAAUUGCAGAAUUCAGUGAAUCAUCGAAACUUUGAACGCACAUUGCACCUCUCGGUAUUCCGGGAGGUAUGCCUGUUCGAGCGUCAUUUGUACCCUCAAGCUCUGCUUGGUGUUGGGUGUUUGUUCCGCCUCUGUGUGUGAACUCGCCUCAAAACAAUUGGCAGCCGGCGUACUUGUUUCGGAGCGCAGCACAUUUUGCGAUCCAGAUCAACGUACAGCGGCAUCCAAGAAGCCUUAUUUAACGCUCUUGACCUCGGAUCAGGUAGGGAUACCCGCUGAACUUAAGCAUAUCAAUAAGCGGAGGA